AGUUCAACAAAUUCCUCAAUGGUACCUCAGAUGUUGGAGAGACCAAGAGGGAGGAGAACUCUUUUUGAGGUAAUUCCUAAGAAGAGAGUUUUUGGACAUUAGCAAUGUUCUAUGUUGCCCUAUCUAUUCCAGUGCCUUCUGAACUGGUUGGAUCAGGUAAACUUAUCUUAUAUCUUAAGCCAAGUAGCAAUGGCUCCAAAAAAAUCAUUCACGGACUUCCACCUGUGUGCUGAAAUUUGUGGGGUACAGAGAUGUUGCUAGACCCAUAUUUAUGCAACUCCACAGUUAAUAGAUGAUGGCUUUCUAGCAUCUUAGAAUGGCUGUGUU
rnacentral:lncRNA from 1 species